GACGAACGCUGGCGGCGUGCUUAACACAUGCAAGUCGAACGGAAAGGCCUUUUCGGAGGUACUCGAGUGGCGAACGGGUGAGUAACACGUGGGUGAUCUGCCCUGCACUCUGGGAUAAGCCUGGGAAACUGGGUCUAAUACCGGAUAGGACCGCACUUUAGUGUGUGUGGUGGAAAGUUUUUUCGGUGUAGGAUGAGCCCGCGGCCUAUCAGCUUGUUGGUGGGGUAAUGGCCUACCAAGGCGGCGGCGGGUAGCCGGACUGAGAGGUUGGUCGGCCACAUUGGGACUGAGAUACGGCCCAGACUCCUGCGGGAGGCAGCAGUGGGGAAUAUUGCACAAUGGGCGCAAGCCUGAUGCAGCGACGCCGCGUGGGGGAUGACGGCCUUCGGGUUGUAAACUCCUUUCGCCAGGGACGAAGCGUUUUGUGACGGUACCUGGAGAAGAAGCACCGGCUAACUACGUG
rnacentral:rRNA from 1 species